rnacentral:rRNA from 1 species
AAUUCCGGUGAAGAUGCCGGAUACCUGCGACAGGACGGAAAGACCCCAUGGAGCUUUACUGUAGCUUGACAUUGGGUCUUGGUACUACAUGUACAGGAUAGGUGGGAGGCUUUGAAACCAGGACGCCAGUUUUGGCGGAGCCAUCCUUGGGAUACCACCCUUGUAGUACUGGGACUCUAACCAUAGGCCAUGAAUCUGGUCUUGGGACACUGUCAGGUGGGCAGUUUGACUGGGGCGGUCGCCUCCCAAAAGGUAACGGAGGCGCUCAAAGGUUCUCUCAGUACGGUCGGAAAUCGUACGUAGAGUGUAAAGGCAAAAGAGAGCUUGAUUGCAAGACAUACAGGUCGAGCAAGGAUGAAAAUCGGACUUAGUGAUCCGGUGGUUCUGCGUGGAAGGGCCAUCGCU